rnacentral:lncRNA from 1 species
UGCCCAUGGUCAGGGGAAUUGAUUGCAAAGGAUAGUGGAGUAGACGCGUGGCCAUCACCGUGGCUCGCCACGUGGAAUCUGUUACGAGGGGUGGAGCAGCGUCCGUUGUCGUGACUCGCCAGUGGAUGGGAGAAUCGCAUGGAAUCCGUCGCAGGAGGUGGAGCAGGUUCGUGGCCGUUAUUGUGGCCUUCCAGGGGGUAGUGGAGCUGUGCGAAAUCUGCCACAGGAAAUGGAGCAGGGUGGCGAUGGUUACUGCAGCCUGUCAGGGAAUGAUGGAACUGCGCGGAGUCCGCCACAGGAAGUGGAGCAGGGUCGUGGCCGUUUUGGUGGCCUGCCAGGGGGCGC